rnacentral:rRNA from 1 species
AUGAACGCUGGCGGCGUGCCUAAUACAUGCAAGUCGAGCGAACAGACGAGGAGCUUGCUCCUCUGACGUUAGCGGCGGACGGGUGAGUAACACGUGGAUAACCUACCUAUAAGACUGGGAUAACUUCGGGAAACCGGAGCUAAUACCGGAUAAUAUAUUGAACCGCAUGGUUCAAUAGUGAAAGACGGUUUUGCUGUCACUUAUAGAUGGAUCCGCGCCGCAUUAGCUAGUUGGUAAGGUAACGGCUUACCAAGGCAACGAUGCGUAGCCGACCUGAGAGGGUGAUCGGCCACACUGGAACUGAGACACGGUCCAGACUCCACGGGAGGCAGCAGUAGGGAAUCUUCCGCAAUGGGCGAAAGCCUGACGGAGCAACGCCGCGUGAGUGAUGAAGGUCUUCGGAUCGUAAAACUCUGUUAUUAGGGAAGAACAAAUGUGUAAGUAACUAUGCACGUCUUGACGGUACCUAAUCAGAAAGCCACGGCUAACUACGUG